GUUUUAUUCACAGAGUUUCAGUAAAAAGCUCACUAGUUCCCUCUAAGUUAAGAAGAACUGGAUGUCGCCAAAUGCAUCUCACUGGAAUGCAUUUGUGAUGUUUCGAAUUUGGAUAGCUUAGAACCAAUAAAUUGACCUUACGAAUUGUGAGAGUGAUGCGUAUAUUCCAGGCCUUGAAUGCUUGAAGUCCCUGAAAAUAUCAUAUACGAGUUGUUGUAGAGCAUGCUCUUCAAAAAGCUGUAUUUU
rnacentral:misc_RNA from 1 species